UUACUUACCUGGCAGAGGCAAUACUAUGAUCAAGAAGGUGGUUUGCCCAAAGCGAGGCUCAGCCAUUGUACUUGAGCUGGGCUGACCUUUUCGAAUUCCUCAAAUUCAGGAAUCUCAACUGUAUAAUUUCUGACAGUGGGGGAAUGCAUUUGUGCUCUCCCCUU